rnacentral:misc_RNA from 1 species
AUGAGGGGCAAACCUGCUGG